UUUGGUGGCGAUAGCGAAGAGGUCACACCCGUUCCCAUUCCGAACACGGCAGUUAAGCUCUUCAGCGCCGAUGGUAGUUGGGGGUUUCCCCCUGUGAGAGUAGGACGUCGCCAAGC
rnacentral:rRNA from 4 species